UGCCAGCAGCCGCGGUAACACGGGGGGCGCAAGCGUUAUUCGGAAUUAUUGGGCGUAAAGCGCGUGUAGGCGGUUCGUUAAGUCUGAUGUGAAAGCCCGGGGCUCAACCCCGGAAGUGCAUUGGAAACUGGCGAACUUGAGUACGGGAGAGGAGAGAGGAAUUCCUGGUGUAGAGGUGAAAUUCGUAGAUAUCAGGAGGAACACCGAUGGCGAAGGCAUCUCUCUGGACCGAUAUUGACGCUGAGGCGCGAAGGCGUGGGUAGCGAACGGGAUUAGAUA
rnacentral:rRNA from 1 species